GACGAACGCUGGCGGCGUGCCUAAUACAUGCAAGUCGAACGCACUCUCGUUUAGAUUGAAGGAGCUUGCUCCUGAUUGAUAAACAUUUGAGUGAGUGGCGGACGGGUGAGUAACACGUGGGUAACCUGCCCUAAAGUGGGGGAUAACAUUUGGAAACAGAUGCUAAUACCGCAUAAAACCUAAACACCGCAUGGUGUAGGGUUGAAAGAUGGUUUCGGCUAUCACUUUAGGAUGGACCCGCGGUGCAUUAGUUAGUUGGUGAGGUAAAGGCUCACCAAGACCGUGAUGCAUAGCCGACCUGAGAGGGUAAUCGGCCACACUGGGACUGAGACACGGCCCAGACUCCUACGGGAGGCAGCAGUAGGGAAUCUUCCACAAUGGACGAAAGUCUGAUGGAGCAACGCCGCGUGAGUGAAGAAGGUUUUCGGAGUCGUAAAACUCUAGUUGUUGAGAGAAUGUAUCUGAUAGUAACUGAUC
rnacentral:rRNA from 1 species